rnacentral:rRNA from 1 species
CCCAAGAGAUCGGGAUAACACCUGGAAACAGAUGCUAAUACCGGAUAACAACAGAUGAUGCCUAUCAACUGUUUAAAAGAUGGUUCUGCUAUCACUCUUGGAUGGACCUGCGGUGCAUUAGCUAGUUGGUAGGGUAACGGCCUACCAAGGCGAUGAUGCAUAGCCGAGUUGAGAGACUGAUCGGCCACAUUGGGACUGAGACACAGCCCAAACUCCUACGGGAGGCAGCAGCU